rnacentral:rRNA from 1 species
AGGGAAACCGAGUCUUAACCGGGCGUUAAGUUGCAGGGUAUAGACCCGAAACCCGGUGAUCUAGCCAUGGGCAGGUUGAAGGUUGGGUAACACUAACUGGAGGACCGAACCGACUAAUGUUGAAAAAUUAGCGGAUGACCUGUGGCUGGGGGUGAAAGGCCAAUCAAACCGGGAGAUAGCUGGUUCUCCCCGAAAGCUAUUUAGGUAGCGCCUCGUGAAUUCAUCUCCGGGGGUAGAGCACUGUUUCGGCUAGGGGGCCAUCCCGGCUUACCAACCCGAUGCAAACUGCGAAUACCGGAGAAUGUUAUCACGGGAGACACACGGCGGGUGCUAACGUCCGUCGUGAAGAGGGAAACAACCCAGACCGCCAGCUAAGGUCCCAAAGUCAUGGUUAAGUGGGAAACGAUGUGGGAAGGCCCAGACAGCCAGGAUGUUGGCUUAGAAGCAGCCAUCAUUUAAAGAAAGCGUAAUAGCUCACUGGUCGAGUCGGCCUGCGCGGAAGAUGUAACGGGGCUAAACCAUGCACCGAAGCUGCGGCAGCGACGCUGAUGCGUUGUUGGGUAGGGGAGCGUUCUGUAAGCCUGUGAAGGUGGCCUGUGAGGGUUGCUGGAGGUAUCAGAAGUGCGAAUGCUGACAUAAGUAACGAUAAAGCGGGUGAAAAGCCCGCUCGCCGGAAGACCAAGGGUUCCUGUCCAACGUUAAUCGGGGCAGGGUGAGUCGACCCCUAAGGCGAGGCCGAAAGGCGUAGUCGAUGGGAAACGGGUUAAUAUUCCCGUACUUGGUGUUACUGCGAAGGGGGGACGGAGAAGGCUAUGUUGGCCGGGCGACGGUUGUCCCGGUUUAAGCGUGUAGGUGUGUGUUCCAGGUAAAUCCGGUUCACUUUAACACUGAGGCGUGAUGACGAGGCACUACGGUGCUGAAGCAACAAAUGCCCUGCUUCCAGGAAAAGCCUCUAAGCAUCAGGUAACAUCAAAUCGUACCCCAAACCGACACAGGUGGUCAGGUAGAGAAUACCAAGGCGCUUGAGAGAACUCGGGUGAAGGAACUAGGCAAAAUGGUGCCGUAACUUCGGGAGAAGGCACGCUGACACGUAGGUGAAGUGAUUUACUCACGGAGCUGAAGUCAGUCGAAGAUACCAGCUGGCUGCAACUGUUUAUUAAAAACACAGCACUGUGCAAACACGAAAGUGGACGUAUACGGUGUGACGCCUGCCCGGUGCCGGAAGGUUAAUUGAUGGGGUCAGCGCAAGCGAAGCUCCUGAUCGAAGCCCCGGUAAACGGCGGCCGUAACUAUAACGGUCCUAAGGUAGCGAAAUUCCUUGUCGGGUAAGUUCCGACCUGCACGAAUGGCGUAAUGAUGGCCAGGCUGUCUCCACCCGAGACUCAGUGAAAUUGAACUCGCUGUGAAGAUGCAGUGUACCCGCGGCAAGACGGAAAGACCCCGUGAACCUUUACUAUAGCUUGACACUGAACAUUGAGCCUUGAUGUGUAGGAUAGGUGGGAGGCUUUGAAGUGUGGACGCCAGUCUGCAUGGAGCCGACCUUGAAAUACCACCCUUUAAUGUUU